rnacentral:rRNA from 1 species
UAUGUGAUCGUCUCUCGCAUAUCAAUAAGCGGAGGAAAAGAAACUAACAAGGAUUCCCCUAGUAACGGCGAGUGAAGCGGGAAGAGCUCAAAUUUGAAAUCUUAAAGGGUUUCCCUUUACGAAUUGUAGUUUAAAGAAGUGUUUUCUGUUGAGGUUUUGGUAAAAGUUCUUUGGAAUAGGACAUCAUAGAGGGUGAGAAUCCCGUAUUUGACCUUUACUUUCAACUUUGUGAUACACUUUCAAAGAGUCGGAUUGUUUGGGAAUGCAGUCCAAAAUGGGUGGUAAAUUUCAUCUAAAGCUAAAUAUUGGCGAGAGACCGAUAGCGAACAAGUACCGUGAGGGAAAGAUGAAAAGAACUUUGAAAAGAGAGUUAAACAGUACGCGAAAUUGUCAAAAGGGAAGCGUUUGACACCAGUGUUGUUUUUCUGAAAAUCAAUUAAAGAACUGUUUAUGCUAAGUUGUUUAGACUUUAUCAGCUAACUGUUUAGUUUUGAGCUUUUCUUUAAUGCACUUUUCAGUUAACAAGUCAACAUCAAUUUCUUUUGCUGUAAAAAAGCUUGAGGAAGGUGGCUUGAGAUUCGUCUUAAGUGUUUAUAGCCUCUUGCCUAUGCAGUCGGAGAGAUUGAGGUCUGCAGCGUAGAUCCUUCGGGGCUAAAUGCAUUUGUGCUAAGUUAUAGCAUUUUAUAGACAACUUGUUGACUAUGAUUUGUCUUGUAGCUUACUCGCUUAUGUUAUUUUACCUACGCUUAGGAUGUUGAAGACUCUACAGAGAUA